UGGGCUGUAGCCAAGUUGGAAAGGCAUUGAAAUUUGAGUUCAAAGAUCGGUGGUUCGAAUCCAUUCAGCCCAU
rnacentral:tRNA from 1 species